CUUUCCUGAAUUAAUCACACCUUCCUGACGCAGCUGAACCCGUUCCCAUCUCCCGCAUGCCGCCAAUCUCUCGAUGCCCUCCCCUCCCCAGCUUCCUCCGCCGGGAACAAGGCCUUCUCCAAGGUGGCGGUGCGAUCCACCGUUCCAUGGCGUCGUGCGGUGGCUGCGCCCACCAUUAUACGUGACGGCGCAUGAGCAAGCUCGCAAACCCCCUCGGCGUCCGGUGCUCCCACCAGGUUCUGGUCUCGCAACCUGUAGCACACCAUGCCGAAGGGCCGUCUCAAUUGGGGAGUGAGGGGAAUGAAUCAAUCUGGAUAGCGCAUGUUAGGCUGCCAUUACAGGUUGGAGAAUCCACUUACCAUAGCGAGACGACGACGGUAAGGUCGCUGGGGUGGCACUAUUAUCAUGCCACCGUGUUGGCAUCUUCUUCGGCGUCGAUGCAUCAAAUGGUGCUCCCAGUCGAUGGGUUCCUUUGUUCAGGCCGGCAUCGUCUCUCAUGCUUCCUACCCUCGAUGCCUCUGGUUCCUCGACGUUGCUGGCUCUACAUAGUUGGAAUGAUGUGCUUCAUUGUCAUAGACGCAAUGCUUCAGAUUUUUGUAUUAAGUUUCAUACUACCUAUGUAUAUGCUUCUAUCAAUUUAGUAUCAGAUAUUUGCUUCUGUAUCAUAUGUGGCAUGGUUUCCAAGUAUGUACAUGUUUGGUUUGUUGUUUACACAACCAUGGUAAAUUAUUAAUGCUUCGGAACUA